CACCGCCNCACACNGNGGGUCAAUUGCUCCAGAAGUCGCUGUGCCAACCGCAAGGAGGCAGGCGCCCAAGGAGUGAUUGGUAACUGGGGUG
rnacentral:rRNA from 1 species